rnacentral:rRNA from 1 species
UGGGGAAUUUUGGACAAUGGGCGAAAGCCUGAUCCAGCAAUGCCGCGUGUGUGAAGAAGGCCUUCGGGUUGUAAAGCACUUUUGUCCGGAAAGAAAUCCUUGGCUCUAAUACAGUCGGGGGAUGACGGUACCGGAAGAAUAAGCACCGGCUAACUACGUGCCAGCAGCCGCGGUAAUACGUAGGGUGCAAGCGUUAAUCGGAAUUACUGGGCGUAAAGCGUGCGCAGGCGGUUUGCUAAGACCGAUGUGAAAUCCCCGGGCUCAACCUGGGAACUGCAUUGGUGACUGGCAGGCUAGAGUAUGGCAGAGGGGGGUAGAAUUCCACGUGUAGCAGUGAAAUGCGUAGAGAUGUGGAGGAAUACCGAUGGCGAAGGCAGCCCCCUGGGCCAAUACUGACGCUCAUGCACGAAAGCGUGGGGAGCAAACAGGAUUAGAUACCCUGGUAGUCCACGCCCUAAACGAUGUCAACUAGUUGUUGGGGAUUCAUUUUCCUUAGUAACGUAGCUAACGCGUGAAGUUGACCGCCUGGGGAGUACGGUCGCAAGAUUAAAACUCAAAUGAAUUGACGGGGUCAUAGCUG